AUGGGGAACCUGAUAUCGGCGGGCGCGGCGGCGGGCGCGAGCGGACGGAAGGUGGUGAUGGCGGACGGGAGCGUGCGGGCGCUCAGCGAGCCCGUGUCCGUGGCGGAGCUCAUGAUGGACCACCCGCGCCACUUCGUCGUCGACGCGCGCCUGCUGCAGCAGCGGAAGGGCGCCGGCGGGGCCUGCAAGGUCGCGCCGCUGCCGGCCGACCACGUGCUGGGCGCGGGCGGCGUGUACGUCCUGCUGCCGGCCACCCGCGGCAAGGUGUCCGCCGAGGAGGCGCGGCGCGUGCUCACGGCGUCGCGGUCGCUGGCGCGCUCCCGGUCAAUGCCGGGCGGGCUGAGGAGGAAGCUGUCGUCCAGGAAGAGCCGGGAAGCCGACGACGCCGAUCGGUCGGCCAAGAACGAGGCGGCUGUGGCAGAAAUGGAGAGGAGGGAGGAGACGGCGGCGACGGCGGACGGGUUCGACGAGCACCGGCCGGAGUUCUUGAGCCGGGAGCUGUCCUGCAGGGGGUGGAAGCCGAGCCUAAACACCAUCGAAGAGCGUGUCAUUCCCAAGAAGGUGUCCCAUUGGCUCUUCUGA
rnacentral:rRNA from 1 species